rnacentral:rRNA from 1 species
GACGAACGCUGGCGGCGUGCUUAACACAUGCAAGUCGAACGGAAAGGCCCUGCUUUUGUGGGGUGCUCGAGUGGCGAACGGGUGAGUAACACGUGAGUAACCUGCCCUUGACUUUGGGAUAACUUCAGGAAACUGGGGCUAAUACCGGAUAGGAGCUGCUGCUGCAUGGUGGGGGUUGGACAGUUUCGGCGGUGGGGGAUGGACGCGCGGCUCAUCAGCUUGUUGGGGGGGUAGUGGCUUACCAAGGCUUUGACGGGUGGCCGGCCUGAGAGGGUGACCGGCGACAUUGGGACUGCGAUACGGCCCAGACUCCUACGUUAGGCAGCAGUCGGGAAUAUUGCCCAAUGGGCGGAAGCCUGAGGCAGCAAUCUCGCGUUCGUGAUGACCUCCUUCUGGUUGUAAACCGCUGUCGCCUGUGACGAAGCUUGUGUGACGGUAAUGGGUAAAGAAGCACCGGCUAACUACGUG